ACCGAAGUGGUGAAAUAGGUAGACACGCUAUCUUGAGGAGAUAGUACUUAAUUUUAAAAGAGUAUACGGGUUCGAAUCCCGUCUUCGGUA
rnacentral:tRNA from 1 species